GUUUCUACUAAGUGCUAGACACUAUUCCAAGACUUUUUCAUUCAAUCCAUAUAACAACCCUAUAAUGUAGGUAAUUAGUAUUAUCAUUCCUAUUUAACUAAGAAAGAAACUGAAGCAGAGAGGUUAAAGUGCUUGAGAUGUACCCAAGAGCUCACAGCUAAUAAGUGAGGUUUCCAGGAUUCUAACCUACCAUUCCCUCUCUUAUGAUUGUUAUAUGUGUUCAUAUAUAUUUAGCAAGAACACAAGGGGAAGUCUGAGAACCAUAGAGGAAUGGAAAUAUGUGAAAAUCAGUUGUGGUUCCUAGUAAAAGUGACGAGUCUCAGUUUCCUAGACAGUUCAAAUUCAUAUCUAGUUUCCCAGCAUAAUUACUAAUAGUAUCCCUGUCACUCUCAAUAGUGUCCAAGUUUGGGCAAUAAAUUAUAGGGGUGACCUGUUAGAAACACCCUAUUCUACUACCAUGUUGAGGCUCUUAAAUUGUUAUCCAUAAAUUUCUCUAUCUACAAAAUGAGUGUUAAUGUUUGCCCUCUUUCUGCCUUCCAAGAUGAUAUUAUUGUGGCAUUAUGCAGAAGAAUACACAUGUAAGAUAUUUUGACAUAUUACAAAUGUCAGAUAGCUGUACAGGGAACUUCCAUAAUGCUGGGUUCCCAUCAUGUGCAGUGCCUGAAGGUGGAUACUUUACAUUUGUUAAUGGAUUCAUUGCCCAUGAGUACAUUAUGCCUUUUUUACUCCUACAGAACAAACAUUUGUGAUAGAAACAUUGGUGUCAGGAUAGAGUACAAACAAACAAAUCAUUGAGCCACUCUUAACCAUCAUUACUGAACCAGAAACUAUGUCAAGAAAUUUGAAAAGGAAGCUUUUCUAAUUUCAUUAUAUAAUAUCCACUUUAAGGUUGACUCAUUAUUUCCACAUAAGAAAAUGAGCAGAAUAAAAAGAAUAAACUGUUUCAUUAUUAAAAAGACAGUUCAUAAGGCUAGUGCUACUAAGUAACUUAUCAGAAAGAAAAGCUAUGAAUUCAUUUUACAAAAGAAAGAUUAUAAGGAGACAUUGCUGCUAUAAUAAUGAGUUGAAAUUCAAGAAAAUGACCUAUUUAUUGAGAUUUAAAAGGUGUAAGCUCUAUCAUGGGAUGUAUCUGUGUGGCGGGGGGAGGGAGAGAAUCUCUUUGUAUUCUGGCUUUUUGGUAUGAUAAUUCAUAAAAACAGGAGAAGGAAAAACAUCUAAAAUGUGUAAAAAUAUUAUAUCCUUAUCUUUUUGUAUCUUUCUUCAGUUCUCAAUUUUUGUUCCCUUUCCAUCUAUUCACUCUCUCACACUAAUUUUUUUUUUAAGAUUUUAUUUAUUUAUUUUGAGAGUGAGAGAGAUUGCAUGAGUGAGGAGAAGGGUAGAGGGAGAGAAAGAGAGGGAGAGAUAAAGAAUCUCAAUCAGACUCCACGCUGAGCAUGGAGCUGGAUGCAGACUGAAUCUCACAACCCUGAGACCAUGACCUGAACAGAAAUCAAGAGUGGGUUGCUUAACUGAUGGAGCCACCCAGCCACCCCUCACACAGUUCUGACAUAUUGUUCUGAUAUAUUGGCCAUUAUAUCAUAGUUUAACAUUUCCUUUACUCCUCUUUAAUUUAUCAUCUCAUUAAAUGCCCUCAUACCUCUGAUUGAAAAUAAGGGAAUAAAUUUAAUUAUGCUCAUCCCAUUUUUUUUUUCUUAAAUCUUUUUCCCACUGUGCAAAGCAGAGUUUGGGACAUUGUUUCCUCACCUAUAAAUCAAGAAAUUUCAAUCUGUAGACCCUGAUGAAAUUCACAACUUUGUAGAUCACAACAGAUCAUGUGAUGGAGGAGCUGAAUAAAUGCUUCAGAAUGAGACAAAGAGAUCAUGAUGGUGGGAAUGAUUCUAUCUUGCCUUGGGGGAAAAAAUAUCACCAUAACAAUGAACUCUGCUUCAAGUAAGCAAUAAAUCUCUCCUUAAACAUGCAAAGAAAGGGCCAAGGAAGGAAAAUAGGAGGGAAGACAAGGAAGGAGAAAAGAGAGGAGGAAAUGAGGGAGGAAUAAAACCCCUUGGUAUAUAAAAAUGUAAGUGUCAGAUAUGUGGCAUUCCCUUAAUGUCUUGAUCUGUUAGUCGUUAGAAUGUGCAAUACAAAACAAGAUAUACAGCCCCAGUGGCGCAGCAGUUUAGCGCUGCCUGCAGCCUGGGGCGUGAUCCUGGGGACCCUGGAUUGAGUCCCACAUCGGGCUCUCUGUAUGAUGCCUGCUUCUCCUUCUGCCUGUGUCUCUGCCAAUCUCUCUCUCUCUCUCUAUGAAUAAAUAAAUAAAAUCUAAAAAAAAAAAAAUCUUAAAAAAAAACAAAAAACAAAAUCAAGAUAUAUAAAUGCAAUUCUGGCUUUUUGAAAAAUCUUUUUAUCUAUCAUAAAGAGCAGUUGUGAAAGUAAAUGAUGUCAUAUAGUCAGGAGACCUUUGGGUUACCUUAGCUCUAUCUCUAAUUAAUGGCCCAAGAGCAAGCAAGUCACUUGGUUUUCAGAGGUGUGGGCUUUGUUGUGGUUUCUGAGGCAUCUCUUAGAAUGGGGGAAAAAAGGUAGGGAUUAUACCUUCAAUUUUUUGUAACUUUUUCACAUCAUGAAAAUGCCAUAUGGUUGACUGAUUCUUUUUGAGUCUUUAGGAAAGAAAAUAAAAACAGAAACGUAAUAAAUAAUGUUUUGCCAGUUAUAUUUCUCACGUAGAUGUGAAAAUUAUUUGUACGGCAUGUCUAAAAUCAAAACAGCUUAAAUGUAUGUAAUGAAAAAAAUGUAUGUAAUGAAGGUUAACUAUUAUAAUAUUAUGAAAGUAUUUUAUGAGUAUUCUUUAUAACAUCAUAGUAUUCCAAGAACCAGAGCUUCUAACUUUAAGUUGACCUGUGCUUUCCAUGAAGAACAUUUUCAUACUUGUGAAAAAAAAAUUGUAUAACUGCUGUAAAACAAUAGCUUGUGAACACUACUUUAGACUUUCUAACUAUGCUCUAGGGAACCCAAAAGCUCAUUUCCUCUGAACUUCUAUUACUUAUGUUUUAUGUUAAGAGAUUAUAUUGGUUUGCAAAGGCAUUAGUUAGCCAGAAAACUAGUCCCCAGAGAAUUUUCUUCAUUAUUAAAUGUAAAAUAAGAUACUAAAGAGCAGGAUGAAGGCAACUUUCACAUUUACCAAAAUUACCUAACAGGCUUGCAGAGAACAGGUGAGUAUGAUGUGAUUCCGGAGUAUUAAGCACAUCCACUUGAAAUAUGGCACACACAGGUUCUCUGAAGCAUGCCAGAAGCAUCCUUUUUUAUUUUUCAGAACCAAAGGCACAGCAUGUACAGAAACAAGUCAUGAUAAAGAUACAAGGAAUGCACCACGUGCUUGGGGUGAAAAGCACAGUGGAGAGGAUGAGGGUGUCACUCCUAACCCAUUUCUCUUCAAUCCAGUUCCUGUGCUGAGCCAGGGCCAACUCCACCCACACAGCUCUGGCCACCAUUAGUCAGUUAUGUAAGGGACCCUACAUAUGGUGUUCAAUUACUGUUAGCCAAAUUCAUGGCAAUGAAAAUAUUUCACUCCCAAACAAUUGCUUAUCAAUAAUUGAUGAUACUGAUAUAUAAUAUUAUCAAUAUAGUAAUCAAUAAUAUAACUUUCACAAUGCAGCAACAACUUGUUUGAACCAACACCUGUACAUGUUACUUGGUUUUUAAGAGACUACAAACUGCUAUAGGAACUUGGUUUCCUAUUUUUCUUAAAGAUUGUAUUAUUUGAGAGAGAGUGUGUGCACACAAGCAAGGGGGAUGGGACAGAGGGGGAGGAACAAGCAGACUCUGUGCUGAGCACAGAAUGCAGGGCUCAAUCCCAGGACCCUGGGAUCAUGACUUGAGCCAAAUGCAGACAUUUAACCAACUGAGCCACCCAGGUACCUCCUUUGUUUCCUAUUUUAUGUCAAACCUCACUCACUAUAUAACCCCCCAAAAGAAAACUAUUCAUUUUUUGGAUAAUAAUGACAAAUUACUGAUAUAAGAAUGCUUUGGUGCAGUAGGAAGAUAUCCAGCCCUUAAGUAAGAAGAUACAAAUUCUAGACUUGGCUCUGCCUUGAUAAUUUUGAAAAAUUCAUUCUUCCUAAGCCUUAACAUUUUCAUCUACAAAUUAAGGAAGCUGUGUUCAACAGAAGGGUUCUAAACUUUUGUUAGGAUAUGAACCCUUUUUUAAAAAAAGAUUUUAUUUAUUUAUUUGAGAGAGAGCGUGCACACAGUAGGCAGAGGGAGAGUGAGAAGCAAGCUCCCAGCUGAGUGAGGAGCCCAAUGUGAUGCUCCAUCUCAGGACCCUCAGAUUAUAACCUGAGUUUAAGGCAGAUACUUAACUACCUGAGCCAUCCAGGUGCUCCAGAACCCGUUUUUUUCCAACAAAUUUCACUAAUGAGCCCUACUUGUUAUGAUAAGAGUGACCUGCCCUGGUGGAAAAGACAGUAGAAAACCCAAGCUUC
rnacentral:lncRNA from 1 species